UCGGGUCUAGCGGCGGACGGGUGAGUAACGCGUGGGAACGUGCCCUUCUCUACGGAAUAGCCCCGGGAAACUGGGAGUAAUACCGUAUACGCCCUUUGGGGGAAAGAUUUAUCGGAGAAGGAUCGGCCCGCGUUGGAUUAGGUAGUUGGUGAGGUAACGGCUCACCAAGCCGACGAUCCAUAGCUGGUUUGAGAGGAUGAUCAGCCACACUGGGACUGAGACACGGCCCAGACUCCUACGGGAGGCAGCAGUGGGGAAUCUUAGACAAUGGGGGCAACCCUGAUCUAGCCAUGCCGCGUGAGUGAUGAAGGCCUUAGGGUUGUAAAGCUCUUUCAGCUGGGAAGAUAAUGACGGUACCAGCAGAAGAAGCCCCGGCUAACUCCGUGCCAGCAGCCGCGGUAAUACGGAGGGGGCUAGCGUUGUUCGGAAUUACUGGGCGUAAAGCGCACGUAGGCGGACUGGAAAGUCAGAGGUGAAAUCCCAGGGCUCAACCUUGGAACUGCCUUUGAAACUAUCAGUCUGGAGUUCGAGAGAGGUGAGU
rnacentral:rRNA from 1 species